AUUGAACGCUGGCGGCAGGCCUAACACAUGCAAGUCGAACGAGUGGCGGACGGGUGAGUAAUUUCUUGGAAACUGCCUGAUGUAGGGGGAUAACUACUGUAACCGGUAGCUAAUACCGCUUACCAUCGUUUGUGCCCAGAUGGGAUUAGCUAGUAGGUGGGGUAAAGGCUCACCUAGGCGACGAUCCCUAGCUGGUCUGAGAGGAUGACCGGCCACACUGGAACUGAGACACGGUCCAGACUCCUACGGGAGGCAGCAGUGGGGAAUAUUGCACAAUGGGCGAAAGCCUGAUGCAGCAAUGCCGCGUGUAUGAAGAAGGCCUUCGGGUUGUAAAGUACUUUCAGCGGGGAGGCGGUACCCGCAGAAGAAGCACCGGCUAACUCCGUGCCAGCCGCCGCGGUAAUAC
rnacentral:rRNA from 1 species